GUCGAACGCACUUUCGUUAAUUGAUUUUGAGAUGCUUGCAUCGAAGAUGAUUUUAACUAUAAAGUGAGUGGCGAACGGGUGAGUAACACGUGGGUAACCUGCCCAGAAGUGGGGGAUAACACCUGGAAACAGAUGCUAAUACCGCAUAACAAAAUUAACCGCAUGGUUGAUUUUUAAAAGAUGGCUUCGGCUAUCACUUCUGGAUGGACCCGCGGCGUAUUAGCUAGUUGGUGAGAUAAAGGCUCACCAAGGCAGUGAUACGUAGCCGACCUGAGAGGGUAAUCGGCCACAUUGGGACUGAGACACGGCCCAGACUCCUACGGGAGGCAGCAGUAGGGAAUCUUCCACAAUGGACGCAAGUCUGAUGGAGCAACGCCGCGUGAGUGAUGAAGGCUUUCGGGUCGUAAAACUCUGUUGUUGGAGAAGAACGUGUGUGAGAGUAACUGCUCAUGCAGUGACGGUAUCCAACCAGAAAGCCACGGCUAACUACGUGCCAGCAGCCGCGGUAAUACGUAGGUGGCAAGCGUUAUCCGGAUUUAUUGGGCGUAAAGCGAGCGCAGGCGGUCUUUUAAGUCUAAUGUGAAAGCCUUCGGCUUAACCGAAGAAGUGCAUUGGAAACUGGGAGACUUGAGUGCAGAAGAGGAGAGUGGAACUCCAUGUGUAGCGGUGAAAUGCGUAGAUAUAUGGAAGAACACCAGUGGCGAAGGCGGCUCUCUGGUCUGCAACUGACGCUGAGGCUCGAAAGCAUGGGUAGCGAACAGGAUUAGAUACCCUGGUAGUCCAUGCCGUAAACGAUGAAUGCUAAGUGUUGGAGGGUUUCCGCCCUUCAGUGCUGCAGCUAACGCAUUAAGCAUU
rnacentral:rRNA from 1 species